AGAUUCGAAACCAGAAAAAUCCUCAUACUCAGUGAAGGUCCGAAAGACUUUCUCUAUCCAAUCACAACGACGUUGUGCCACCAAUGCGAUUGCGGCACGGAGUCCCAUUCAUUUUACAAAGCAUUUAUUUAAUAAUUCUCUCCUUCUCCUUUAAUUAUUCUCUCCUUCUAUAGUCUUCUUCAUUUCAGGCGCAGGGUUCUUGCUCAGAGUGUCCACCAAGAAGCACAUGUGUAAAGUCUCGAAGUGGCGAAACAAAGUGUGUCCAUGAUGGUGUACACAGAAAACUACCAAAGAAGGAAGUAACUUCAGCUCAACCAAAGUCACUUCACAUAACAAUGAGAGAUUUCGAAAAGAAUUGGAAAACAAUCUCAACUCAGGAGUUUCGGAAACAUCGAGUAUUAUCUUUCACUUGGAGCCCAACAAUUGCUAAUACCUUCUAUGGUCUUACUGAUUUGGGUAGCAGUGAAGUUAUUGAAACUUAC